rnacentral:tRNA from 1 species
GCUUCAGUAGCUCAGUUGGUUAGAGCACAUGACUGUUAAUCAUGGGGUCGUUGGUUCAAGCCCAUCCUGGAGCGCGA